AGAAUGCCAUCUCUAGGAUGCCAAUGGGCUGUGUCUACAGUACUAUGUAGGAAAGUGCUGCAAGAGAGAGCCCAUUUUGCCUAAACAAGAACCACGAUUAUGUAAAGUUCUUUCUGUCACCUCUCUGAAGACCUGGUUCAUAUCUGCAGCUGCAACUCUAUCCCUGAACUCAUCUUUGAAACUACCCAGAGAUAGACUGUCAGGAGCUUUAGAGCUUUACAACAGGAUCUUCCAAGUGCCCUGAGAGGUCAUGAUGGAGCCAAUAGAAAUAAAUCACAAAAAACAAAGCCAGAACCUGGUGGGAGGGAUGCUUACAAAACAACAUAAACGAGAAGUUGUCUGAAAAAAAAUUGCAUGGAAGGAAGAAGAGAUGAGAUAAGGGAAAUGAACUCAUAAUAGCCCCAGUUAAAAUACUUGCAGUAAAAUAUCAUUAGUACUACUUGAUGUUGGUGAAAGGCUCUAGACUCAAGUCAGAAGGCCCACGUUGUUGCUGUGUUGAGAUUCAGUUUUCUUUUCUAUCAUUGGGUAUUAAUAACUUCUAUGUGAUGUCAGAGUU
rnacentral:lncRNA from 1 species